rnacentral:snoRNA from 1 species
GACAUAUGAUGUUUUCUAUAUUUGCUACUUCAGACGUAACCACCAAGGUUUCGAAUGAGACAUACUAAUUAUCACCAAGAUCUCUGAUGUC